UAUAUUCAAAAAAAUCGUAAGUUACUAUAAUUCGAGUAAGUUACUACAGAAGUAGCGCUCGUGUAAACAUAGUAAAUGUUUAGUAUGUCUGAAACAUAAUUCCCAAAGACGUCUUUGUAGCCAUUCCCAAAGAUAUCUUUGUGACGUGUUUUAAAGACGUCUUUGGGACAUGUCCUAAAGACUUCGAAAAUCGGGUCAUAAGACGUCCUUAAGGACGCAAAAAAGAUGCCUUUCUGACAAUCUCGUAAGACGUCUUAGUAAUUUCAAGACGACUUUAAGACAUCUUUAAGACGACAUAAUGUUGUCUGGGAUAAAUUCAUUUGCAGGAAAUUAUUGAUAGGUUACGCCUGGAGUUGGAUUUCGAAAACGAAGGAAGAAAUUCAGAACAAUGCGCUAAAGAUCUAAAGAAAUUCAAGUAUGCAUAUGUGCCAAAAGUUUAUUGGAAUCUUAGUACUAAGGUUGUUUCUUUAUUUAGCCUAAUCGACAUAUAGAUUUUAGGGUGGUAUUCAUAGUCCGAUUAUUUUUUUAAUAGAUAAUUCAUUAUCUUAUUUUUGAAUCACAAAUUUGAGUCAUUAAGAAUCUUAAAGCUUAUAAAAAUGUGUUAAUAAUCAUAACUGUUGACACACUUAUCACAAAGAAGAGAAAAAAAACGUGGUUAAAAGCAAUGUGCCAUAUUAUCUUAGACUAUGAAUUAAACUCAUAUUGAUUAUUUAUUUAGAUAUUGUGCUCCUAGUUUUUAAUUUUGUUUUUUUAAUAUUCUUUAGUGAUUUCUUGUAACAGAAUGGAUCGAUGGUGUUAAAGUAACGGACGUAAAAAGCAUCAAAGCUCAAGGUUUAAAUCUCGCAGACGUUGACAAAAAAUUAAUCACACUAAUGGGAGAACAAAUAUUUCACACUGGAUUUAUGCAUGCUGAUCCACAUCCAGGAAACGUUUUUGUGAGGAAGGGAAAGGACAAAAAGGCAGAAAUAGUGCUACUAGAUGUACGAGAACAUGUCGGAGAACACAAGGCAUACUUUGUGCAAUUUUUGGGAAUCAUUAGUUUUAAGAAAUGACGUUUCCUUGCAAGCCCUUGCGAGUGAUUUGAACGUGGACAAUUAUGUAUUGUUAGCAGAAAAUCAAAAGGCGUUAAAUCGGGCGAUCUUGGAGGCCAGAAAACCGGUCCUCCUCGACCAAUCC
rnacentral:misc_RNA from 1 species